AACGAACGCUGGCGGCAGGCUUAACACAUGCAAGUCGAACGGGCGUAGCAAUACGUCAGUGGCAGACGGGGUGAGCAACACGUGGGAACCUUCCUAGGGGUACGGAACAACUCAGGGAAACUUGAGCUAAUACCGUAUACGUCCGUGAGGAGAAAGAUUUAUCGCCCUUAGACGGGCCCGCGUCGGAUUAGCUAGUUGGUGGGGUAACGGCCUACCAAGGCGACGAUCCGUAGCUGAUCUGAGAGGAUGAUCAGCCACACUGGGACUGAGACACGGCCCAGACUCCUACGGGAGGCAGCAGUGGGGAAUCUUGGACAAUGGGCGCAAGCCUGAUCCAGCCAUGCCGCGUGAGUGAAGAAGGCC
rnacentral:rRNA from 1 species